rnacentral:rRNA from 1 species
AGCACCACAACGGGUGGAGCCUGCGGUUUAAUUGGACUCAACGCCGGGAAACUCACCAGAUAAGACAGCUGAAUGAUAGUCGGGCUGAAGACUCUACUUGACUAGCUGAGAGGAGGUGCAUGGCCGUCGUCAGUUCGUACUGUGAAGCAUCCUGUUAAGUCAGGCAACGAGCGAGACCCACGCCAACAGUUGCCAGCUCGUCCUCCGGGAUGGUGGGGACACUGUUGGGACCGCCUCUGCUAAAGAGGAGGAAGGAAUGGGCAACGGUAGGUCAGCAUGCCCCGAAUUAUCUGGGCUACACGCGGGCUACAAUGGGUGGGACAAUGGGUAUCGACACCGAAAGGUGAAGGCAAUCUCCUAAACCCAUCCGUAGUUCGGAUUGUGGGCUGCAACUCGCCCACAUGAAGCUGGAAUCUGUAGUAAUCGUGUCUCAAAAUGGCACGGUGAAUAUGUCCCUGCUCCUU